CCUACGGGAGGCUGCAGUGGGGAAUCUUCCGCAAUGGACGAAAGUCUGACGGAGCAACGCCGCGUGAGUGAAGAAGGUCUUCGGAUCGUAAAGCUCUGUUGUACGGGACGAAUGUUGAAGGCGUGAAUAAUGCCAUCAAAUGACGGUACUGUACGAGGAAGCCACGGCUAACUACGUGCCAGCAGCCGCGGUAAUACGUAGGUGGCGAGCGUUGUCCGGAAUUAUUGGGCGUAAAGGGAGCGCAGGUGGGAAGAUAAGUCUGUUUUAAAAGCGUC
rnacentral:rRNA from 1 species